rnacentral:rRNA from 1 species
AGUGAACGCUGGCGGCAGGCCUAACACAUGCAAGUCGAACGGCAGCACAGGAGAGCUUGCUCUCUGGGUGGCGAGUGGCGGACGGGUGAGGAAUACAUCGGAAUCUACCCUUUCGUGGGGGAUAACGUAGGGAAACUUACGCUAAUACCGCAUACGAUCUGAGGAUGAAAGCAGGGGACCGCAAGGCCUUGCGCGAUUGGAUGAGCCGAUGUCCGAUUAGCUAGUUGGCGGGGUAAAGGCCCACCAAGGCGACGAUCGGUAGCUGGUCUGAGAGGAUGAUCAGCCACACUGGAACUGAGACACGGUCCAGACUCCUACGGGAGGCAGCAGUGGGGAAUAUUGGACAAUGGGCGCAAGCCUGAUCCAGCCAUGCCGCGUGUGUGAAGAAGGCCUUCGGGUUGUAAAGCACUCUUGUUGGGAAAGAAAUCCUGUCGGCUAAUACCCGGCGGGGAUGACGGUACCCAAAGAAUAAGCACCGGCUAACUUCGUGCCAGCAGCCGCCGUAA